rnacentral:ribozyme from 13 species
UCUUUCUCUUUCUCUUUCUCUUUCCUCUCUUUCUCUUCCUCAUCCUCUUUGUUUGUGUUGCUUUUUCGCCACAAUGGACAAAAAAAGAAGACCACAGUGUAAAACCUGUGGAGAAGUCCUUCAACCAAAUGACAAAGAGUACUGUCAAUCAUGCCACAAAAUGUUUUUACAACACCAUCAGAAACAGCAACAACCACAAAAAGACAAAAAAAAACAACAACA